GAUGAACGCUGGCGGCGUGCUUAACACAUGCAAGUCGAACGAUGAUCCGGUGCUUGCACCGGGGAUUAGUGGCGAACGGGUGAGUAACACGUGAGUAACCUGCCCUUAACUCUGGGAUAAGCCUGGGAAACUGGGUCUAAUACCGGAUAUGACUGAUCAUCGCAUGGUGGUUGGUGGAAAGCUUUUUUGUGGUUUUGGAUGGACUCGCGGCCUAUCAGCUUGUUGGUGAGGUAAUGGCUUACCAAGGCGACGACGGGUAGCCGGCCUGAGAGGGUGACCGGCCACACUGGGACUGAGACACGGCCCAGACUCCUAUGGGAGGCAGCAGUGGGGAAUAUUGCACAAUGGGCGCAAGCCUGAUGCAGCGACGCCGCGUGAGGGAUGACGGCCUUCGGGUUGUAAACCUCUUUCAGUAGGGAAGAAGCGAAAGUGACGGUACCUGCAGAAGAAGCGCCGGCUAACUACGUGCCAGCAGCCGCGGUAAUACGUAGGGCGCAAGCGUUAUCCGGAAUUAUUGGGCGUAAAGAGCUCGUAGGCGGUUUGUCGCGUCUGCC
rnacentral:rRNA from 1 species